rnacentral:rRNA from 1 species
AGAGUUUGAUCAUGGCUCAGAACGAACGCUGGCGGCAUGCCUAAUACAUGCAAGUCGAACGCGUCUAGCAAUAGACGAGUGGCGGACGGGUGAGUAACGCGUGGGAACCUGCCCUUGAGUGCGGGAUAACCGAGGGAAACUUCGGCUAAUACCGCAUGCGCCCCCAGCGAUGGGGGGAAAGAUUUAUCGCUCGAGGAGGGGCCCGCGUCGGAUUAGCUAGUUGGUGGGGUAACGGCCUACCAAGGCGAUGAUCCGUAGCUGGUCUGAGAGGAUGAUCAGCCACACUGGGACUGAGACACGGCCCAGACUCCUACGGGAGGCAGCAGUAGGGAAUAUUGGACAAUGGGGGCAACCCUGAUCCAGCAAUGCCGCGUAAGUGAUGAAGGCCUUAGGGUUGUAAAGCUCUUUCGCGCGCGACGAUGAUGACGGUAGCGCGAGAAGAAAGCCCCGGCUAACUUCGUGCCAGCAGCCGCGGUAAUACGAAGGGGGCGAGCGUUGUUCGGAAUUACUGGGCGUAAAGGGCGCGCAGGCGGCCGAUCAAGUCAGGCGUGAAAGCCCCGGGCUUAACCUGGGAAUUGCGCUUGGGACUGGUUGGCUUGAGUUCGGGAGAGGAGAGUGGAAUUCCCAGUGUAGAGGUGAAAUUCGUAGAUAUUGGGAAGAACACCGGUGGCGAAGGCGGCUCUCUGGACCGAUACUGACGCUGAGGCGCGAAAGCGUGGGGAGCAAACAGGAUUAGAUACCCUAGUAGUCC